UUAGACAUGAUGUAUUGGGAGCACGGCCUCUUCUUAUGAUGGGUUGAGUCCAGUGGCAAUCCAGGGUUCGAUUCCCUUUGUCUGUA